rnacentral:rRNA from 1 species
AGCAGCAGCCGCGGUAAUACGAAGGGUGCAAGCGUUAAUCGGAAUUACUGGGCGUAAAGCGUGCGUAGGCGGUUUGUUAAGUCUGCUGUGAAAUCCCCGGGCUCAACCUGGGAAUGGCAGUGGAUACUGGCAAGCUAGAGUGUGUCAGAGGAUGGUGGAAUUCCCGGUGUAGCGGUGAAAUGCGUAAAGAUCGGGAGGAACAUCAGUGGCGAAGGCGGCCAUCUGGGACAACACUGACGCUGAGGCACGAAAGCGUGGGGAGCAAACAGGAUUAGAUACCCCGGUAGUCCCUGUCUCUUAUAC